UGUGUGUGUGUGUGUGUGUGUGAAUGUGUUCACGCAGAUAUAAGAAGUUGGGGUUGGGGUUGAUGAUCCACAUGAUGGUGAUGGACCAGGACAGCUCUGGACCUCCUGACUGGCAGCUCCAUCCUCAACCUCCCUUCCUGUCCUUCACACAUGUGCAGGCAGAGAGGCAGUUUUCUGAAGGAUGGUUAAUGUCAGUACCAACAUGUUGUGAUGGAGGCUUCCACCUGAGCUGAACACAGAAACUUGCACACAGUGAUGGAAGCAGUCGUUCCUGUUCAGCAUUGAUAUGCCGGUAAUGGGUUUGAUGAGCCACAGCAUAGUGAUGGGCAAUCAGCAUCAGGACCAGGACCGCUCACAAGGAGAACCUCCUGCCCUGCCUCUUCAUCCUCAACCUCCAAUCUUCCUGCUCUUCACACAUGUGCAGGCACAGAGCCAGUUUUCAGAGGGAGGGCUGAUGACACCAGCAACUUCGGAUCUGAACCUGAUCAACCCAGCACCAACCACUGUGCCGCUCCUCCUCUGUCAACUGCACCACAUGGCUCCACCAUCUCAAAAAGGCACAGACACUACUCCACUUCCUGCGAAGGAUGAGAGAAGAGCCGACCUCCCCACAACGGCACUCACCACCUUCUACAGGGGUGUCAUUGAGAGCAUCCUGACCAGCAGCCUCUCUGUCUGGCAUGGCAGCCGUCAAGCUGAAGACUAGAAGGCAGUACAGAGAGUGGUGAGGACAGCAGAAAAGCUCAUAAGAUCACCCCUACCUGUUCUCCCUACUACCAUCAGGGAAGCGCUAGCCCAGCAUGCGGUGCUGCAAAAGCACACUGGGAAACGGCUUCUUUCCACAAGCCAUCAGACUCCUCAACGCACUGAAGAAAACCACAUGAAUAACCAAGGACACGGGAGAAUAUUCCAUGAACACUUCUUUCACCAUGCCACUUACACUUUACUCAUUGCACCUUGUAUACAGCAUCUUCACAUCACCUGUAUGAACUCCUCCUGCCGUGUGUGUGUCCACUGUGUUUGUGUAUUUAUUGUCCAUCAGUAUGUUAAUCUUAUUAUUGCACACUG